rnacentral:rRNA from 1 species
AUUGAACGCUGGCGGCAUGCUUUACACAUGCAAGUCGAACGGCAGCGCGGGGCAACCUGGCGGCGAGUGGCGAACGGGUGAGUAAUAUAUCGGAACGUACCCAAGAGUGGGGGAUAACGUAGCGAAAGUUACGCUAAUACCGCAUACGAUCUAUGGAUGAAAGCAGGGGAUCUUCGGACCUUGUGCUCCUGGAGCGGCCGAUAUCUGAUUAGCUAGUUGGUGAGGUAAAGGCUCACCAAGGCGACGAUCAGUAGCUGGUCUGAGAGGACGACCAGCCAAACUGGAACUGAGACACGGUCCAGACUCCUACGGGAGGCAGCAGUGGGGAAUUUUGGACAAUGGGCGCAAGCCUGAUCCAGCAAUGCCGCGUGAGUGAAGAAGGCCUUCGGGUUGUAAAGCUCUUUUGUCAGGGAAGAAACGGCUGAGGCUAAUAUCCUCGGCUAAUGACGGUACCUGAAGAAUAAGCACCGGCUAACUACGUGCCAGCCGCCGCUGUAA